rnacentral:rRNA from 1 species
CCUACGGGCGGCAGCAGUGAGGAAUAUUGGUCAAUGGACGAGAGUCUGAACCAGUCAAGUAGCGUGAAGGAUGACUGCCCUAUGGGUUGUAAACUUCUUUUAUAUGGGAAUAAAAUGUUCCACGUGUGGGAUUUUGUAUGUACCAUAUGAAUAAGGAUCGGCUAACUCCGUGCCAGCAGCCGCGGUAAUACGGAGGAUCCGAGCGUUAUCCGGAUUUAUUGGGUUUAAAGGGAGCGUAGGUGGAUUGUUAAGUCAGUUGUGAAAGUUUGCGGCUCAACCGUAAAAUUGCAGUUGAAACUGGCAGUCUUGAGUACAGUAGAGGUGGGCGGAAUUCGUGGUGUAGCGGUGAAAUGCUUAGAUAUCACGAAGAACUCCGAUUGCGAAGGCAGUUCACUGGACUGCAACUGACACUGAGGCUCGAAAGUGUGGGUAUCAAACAGGAUUAGAUACCCCAGUAGUC